rnacentral:rRNA from 2 species
UGACCUCAGAUCAGGCAAGACUACCCGCUGAAUUUAAGCAUAUUAAUAAGCGGAGGAAAAGAAACUAACAAGGAUUCCCU